rnacentral:lncRNA from 1 species
UGGGCGGGAAAGGACGGACGGGUUAAGUAGCCAAUCACCAAUUGCGCUCCAGCCAGAGGGGCGAUGUUCUUGGGGAGCCUGGGGAUCUGGAAGAAGUUCAGUGUGAGGACGAGUGUUAGGAAAUAAGGCUGAAGACAGAGGCAACCCUGGAGGAUCUUCUAACCCAUGUCAAGCAGUUGAGAAUUUAUGGAGUGAAAUAGCAAGCCAUUGAAGAGUUUCAAGCUUUCAUCCAGCUUUUAAGGGAAACUAAUAUCUCAUGAAAUUGUGAGGGCCUGGAAUCUUCAAAGAGCCAAGGAUUCUGCCAGACUGAGCAAUAGACUUGAUGAGCAUUCUCCACUUAAGAUCUGAACUAUGAGAAGUCGAAUCAAAGCAGUUCUUUUGUAAUUCCAAACAGCCAUUUAGACAUAUGAAGAAAUGAAAGUAAAGCAGUUCUAAAGACAAGGAAGAGGGUCAAUGAAAGGUGCUCCCAAUGCAAUCACAAAGAUCUUUAAAAGUGGAAGAAGGUGGGAGAGGUCAGAGUGAUACGAAGAGAACUCAGUCUACCACUGCUGGCUUUGAAGAUGGAAGAAUGGGGCUAUGAGCCCUGGAUUGCGGGCAGCCUGCAGAAGCUGGGGCAGAGAUUCCACACAGGCACCUCUAGAAAAUAAUGCAGCCAGCCAAUCCUUAGACUUUAUCCCAGUGAGAGUCAAGUUGGACUUCUGACCUACAAAAGAAUACAGCAAAAAGGCAGCCAUCUGAAAGGCAGGAAGAGAGCCCUUACCAGAAACCGAGCUCUGCUGGACCUUGUCCUUGGACUUUCCAGCCUCCAGAACACCCUUUGACACAGCCGACAAAGAUCCUGACAGAUAAAUUGGUGUGGGCCUGUCUUUCUGGGACCUUCUUGCCUGAAAUUAUUUCAAGACCAGUUUUCUCAGCCAUAGAGUAUGUGCAGCAGAGGUCUGUAUCUUCUGCAGGUUGAUGUGCUCCUGUGCAACUGGAUGGGUCCCAGUUCAUGGCCCCAGGGCCAACACAGACUAUUAAUGUUUCAAUGAAUUACCUAAGGAGCACCAUGAAAAAAACACACCAUGGUACUGGCAAUUGUUUGAAGAAGGUCCUAAAUAUGCCUGGGUUUGGGAGUCUCGGCUUCUACUGGGAAUGAUACAAGAGGUCAAGGCUACUUGUAAUGAAUAAAUCCUGUUCUCUGCCA